GAACGUAUGGCUUAGUGGCCAGAGCGCUUGAACGAUUUUCAAGAGGCAUAGAUUCAAAUCCCGCUAUGUUCA
rnacentral:tRNA from 1 species